GGGGUUGUAGUUCAGUUGGUUAGAAUGCCGCCCUGUCACGGCGGAGGUCGCGGGUUCGAGCCCCGUCAACCCCGC
rnacentral:tRNA from 1 species